rnacentral:rRNA from 1 species
CCCGCACAAGCGGUGGAGCAUGUGGUUAAUUCGACGCAACGCGAAGAACCUUACCUGGGUUUGACAUCCCGAUCGUACUCUAUGGAAACAUAGGGGUCAGUUCGGCUGGAUCGGUGACAGGUGCUGCAUGGCUGUCGUCAGCUCGUGUCGUGAGAUGUUGGGUUAAGUCCCGCAACGAGCGCAACCCUUGUCCUUAGUUGCCACCAUUCAGUUGGGCACUCUAAGGAGACUGCCGGUGUUAAACCGGAGGAAGGUGGGGAUGACGUCAAGUCCUCAUGGCCCUUAUAUCCAGGGCUACACACGUGCUACAAUGGCCGGUACAAAGGGGCGCAAGACCGCGAGGUGGAGCAAAUCCCAAAAAACCGGUCUCAGUUCGGAUUGGAGUCUGCAACUCGACUCCAUGAAGUUGGAAUCGCUAGUAAUCGCGUAUCAGCAUGACGCGGUGAAUACGUUCCCGGGCCUU